AAAGUGGUCGUCCGCCAUUGGGAGCGCCCGCGAGCCAUAGAGGGUACAUGGGGCGGCGGCCCGUUGUCCUUCCACCGUUGAGAGCGAGAGGUGUUCGCUGCUCUGUGAAACCAGCCUCACGCGGUUCCCUCCGCCUCAAGAGAUGCGCGACCCAAGCUUUCGCUCAAGGCGCACAUCCCGCUACCCCACUUGGAACGGGCGAGCCAACCUUACGCUCCAUUUGCACCCAGACUCACGAGCGUGACCCAGCGUCCUAUAAACCACUUUAAUACCCCCAAUUGGCUCGAGUAAUAAGCUCCCGCUACGAAGCUCGGUGAUCGGGUGCGCGAGACUUGCGUCACCUAAACCAACAUAUUAUUUUGUAGGCAGGCGAUGUGGGACUAAAUUGACCGGCUUCCUCAUGGCAGCCGUCGCAUUCCCUCCAUGUCGUAGGCCAGGGCAGCCUCCUGGGCAAUGUCGAAGGUCCCAAGCCCAUGCCUCUCUUUGGUCGGGGGGUCCCUUAUCUCAGCAGCAUAGCUCCCCCAAGGCCGCCGCCUCACAUCAAGGAACCUCCCUGGCUCUGCGGGCUUCCUCCUCCCUCUCCUCUCAGGACGGGAGCUGGCUGUGGGGUUGCUGGCGAUGAUGAUGACGAUGAGGAUGGCUUAGCCUGACAGAAUCCCACUGAGGGUGGGUUGUGGCCUUGAGCUUUUGGUGCUGCGGUGUCUAAGGUUUUUGAGGAGGACAUUGAUUGGAAACGUGAGUAGAAGAAGAGAUAGGGAGCUGGAGAAAGGCAGAGGUGGCUACGAGUGAGGUCGUUUGGGUUUGGAGGGGGGUGGGGAGGUGAAAAGAGGUCCAGGGGAUUUAAAUUGGGUGCUGCUGGAUGUGGUAGGAGGGAAGAGGACAUUGUAGAUGGGAUAGAAGAUGCAAUGGAUUCAUGACCAGCUUCGCCAAUUAAUAAUACUUUUACAUUGUGAACAAGCUCCUGUUUCAUUGACGCAUGAUCUUUUUCUAACUCAGUCAGCCUCAUCCUUGUUCUUGCGACCUCAAGCUUCAGUUCCUUGUUCUCUCUCUUCACUGAUGCAAAACUGUCCAUUGGGGAGAUGGUACCACUCCCCACCCCACUGCCCGUUCUUUGACGGUGUCGACCAUUUACCGAACCAAAGAACUGAUCAUGGCUUCUGUUCAUGGCAUCUCGAAGCCUGAUCUCCUCCUUUUGCGCAGGGAAGCUUUCAUUUUGAGCUUGCAUAGGCCGUGGUGUUUUGAUUCCUUCAUGUUGGGAUGAACCUGAAAGUUGGGUCAUAAUCAAAUAAAUUCGUCAAUGUGGUCAGCUGGUUAUUAGAGCAUAACGACCAGCCUUUUUUCAUUUCUUUGGGCAAGAUCUUAUCCUGAGUUGCAUCCUUCGCUAAUGCAAAUUAGUUUUUUUCUUUCUAAUGGUUAAUCUGGAUGGAAGUUUCCAACCUGCAAGCCUUAUCCCACCGAUACUGCAUCGAAACUUUUCAUGAAAUUUAAGUGGUAAAAGGUUUGCAUGAAAGCACAUGGAAUAUUUGCAACAAGUCAUUAAGAAUUCUAGCUGUCGGAAUAGAGGAGAUUAGCCCUAUUAUCAAAUCAAGGAUUUCUAGGAAGCUCAAAACUUUGUGAGGUUUGUGGUUUGUAGAAUUAGAACAUCAGAGAUUAGGAACAUAAGUUUUGUUGUGUCCACCUGUAGAUAGAUCCAGUUCUGAUAUAUUCUGAUGAAAUUUAGUAACAGCUGAACAAAACAAUAAAAACACUGAAACUAAGCUCAUAUUCUUGUGGGUAACAAGAAGACCUCGAGUGUGAUUAAGCUCGUUCUGAAGGACUUUCAGAACUGUUAUCAUAGGAAUAAGAUGUCUGAUUGGCAGACUAUGAUUGUGGUGCCCUAGAAUUAGUUCUGAUAUGGAGCAGGAAUUGUACAAUUAGACCCUUAAGCUACACUGGUUAAAUAGCAUCAAUCAAUGCUAUGUAGCUAACAUAACAUGAUGGAAGACAUCCGAUGGUUAAUCAGAGGACUGUGAUGGGUUGGUGGGAGGUAGUGGCUUUGGUCUUUGACAGGUGAGACAGGAGCAGGAAAUGGUCACCAUUGUUGCAAUUGGUGUGACCAACUGAAGUUGAUGUUGCAGGAGGGAGCGGGCACAGAGUGCAGAAUAGGGGGGUGGGUGGGUGGGUGUGCUGAUUUCCCUCGGGACAAGGUGCGAAGGAGGUGCUCGGAAUCACUGGGAUAGGAAAGCCUGCUAUCCUUCAUCAUGGUGGACCAAAAAGAAGCAUCACGAUGGUUGUAGCCUCAUAAUUUGUUGACAUUUAUGUAUUACUUGAUGACGAUAAUAUGCAACUAUGUUUUUGUUGAAUUGGAAAUUGGACGUCAUGCUAGCAAAUGACACAUUAAAUAUACAGACUGUUGAUUGCCCACGUCUGCAAAUAAGUAGGGCUGAAACUAGGCCGGACCCAGACGGCUUAUCUUUUGGGUCAUGAUUUUGGACCCACGCUUAACUCAUUGGCUGACUAGAUUGGGCGAGCUUUGGUCCGGCCAAUGAAAACUGUUUAAUCCAAAGGCUCAUCCGACCGUGCCAGAAUUAAGCACGGCAUUGACCCAAACCAAAAUGUCUUAAGUCUGGCUUGAAACUAUCCUAAAUGAAUCUUGCAACUCGGUAAGCAAAUUUUUUAUACCUAAGGAUAUAAUAAUUGAUAGUCAAAUAUGAAAUUCACUAAAUGUUAGAAUAGAAAAUUUUUUUGUUUUUGGUGAAAUAGUUAUCCCACGAGUGGCUGCCAUUUUUUGCUUGGCUAUAUUUUUUGAAAUUAUUUUAAAUUUAAUAUAUAUUAUCUUGCAGAGAAAAUAGAAAUAGCAGCAUGAAGGGUAUAUUUUAUAUAUACCUGACCAUGAUUUAUAUCUUCUUUAAUUAAACAGACCGUCUCGUCAAAUGCAUAUUAUUUUUGAGGUAUAUGAAGCCUAAUUAUUUUUUUUUCUCCUUUCCGAGGGCUUAGAAGUAAAAGGCACGUAAAAAGCAAAAAGAAAAAAAAAAUCAAAAAAAAGUGGUUGUUCGCUAUUGGUGCGGGCCGUAGAGGGUACGUGGGGCGGUGGCCCGUUGUCCUUCCACCGUUAAGAGCGGGAGGUGUUCGCUGCUCUGUGAAACCAGCCUCACGCGGUUUCCUCCGCUUCAAGAGAUGCGCGACCCAAGCUUUCGCUCAAGGCGCACCAUCCCGCUACCCCACUUGGAACGGGCGAGCCAACCAAACGCUCUACUUGCACCCAGACUCACAAGCGUGACCCAGCGUUCUAAACCACUUUAAUACCCCCGACUGGCUCGAGUCACAAGCUCCCGCAACGAAGCUCGGUGG
rnacentral:lncRNA from 1 species